CGUAUCAAGAGGUUGUCCCAUGACUUCGGAGCCGAGACGCACUCAAUUCCCAGCUCUCCCAUCAUUGCGCCGUGGUCAGCGACAUUCCGGUGGUGACGUGUCACGCCGAAAGAAAGAAAGACCUUGUUCAUCAGACACAGGGUCACAGAGUCGUGUUCCCACUCAAGAUAACCAUUCACCGCGACAACGCUGCUUCCCUCCCCCCUAAAACACACGGCCCCCCCUUCGUUUACUUCCUAACGUCAACUGAACCGGGGGAGAUUGUCAACAUCAUCGGGCAGACAAACAGCAUUCCUUCGCUUCCUUUCAAGCGAUCACUCGCCUCCGGUCAACAGUCUCACGGGUCUGCCGGCGUAAAGCGAUGGCGCUGAACAAACGCCGCUGCCGUCCGUGGUGGGCUCUUUGGGAGUUUCGCUGUUGUUGACAGAGGCACGGGAGGCAGCUUUCAACAGCUUUGGAGUUUCUGUUGGACCAUGGUGUCUGACAGGUCCAGAUUGUUGCCAAGGCCCAGCCGCUCUGACACCAGGUGGCCCCUGGCAUCCCCCUACAAGAGGAGCGAGGAGAAGGACUUGUCAACUUUUCCUACCUGCAAGGAGUCGGCGGCCAUCUUGCUUGUCGCCUUUGAAUCAAAUCCUACGGGGAGAGAGGAGGGGAGGUGG